UUCAGUUGUGCCAGUUUCAUCCUAUUUCUCAUUCACACAGAUGCUUAUUUAUUUUACGUUGCUCAAAAAACUAUACUGGAUAUAAAAAAGCUUUGUAAAAUGUUGUUUAAUGUAUUUGAGUAUAAGAGGAAGCUUUAAUAGGAAGUUGUGACAACCAAUUGCGACAUCACAGGAUACUACAACUCCUGGCUCAACAUUAACUGAAAGAAGAAGCAGAAAAGCAAGGCAUCAACAGCAGACAUUUUUUCUGAGCAAAAACAUCCAAACUUGGUUAUCAAGUAAAUUUGGAUCACUGGUCGACCUGAGGAAAUCAAACCGUUCUUCCCAAAGAUCAAGCCUGGGUGAGUCUAGAUGAGUGAUCCAGCUAAUGAGAGUGAACUAAAACAAGUAAGUGUUGAAAAUGCUUUACUUGAAGAGCGUUCUGUUCAGACAACUGGCUUGCACAGUGUCACCUGCUGUCUUGUACUACAUAAAAUCCCCUUCAGUAAGGACACUGACCACCGGAAAUUAGCCAUAUGCAGCAUCGUAUGUGGACUCUCCUGCAUUGGCAUUAUGUCUCUUAUCUACUCUGUCAAGGCUCGAGAGACAAGAAAAACACUUCAAAAUGAAGAUCAAUUGGGAGCACAGCAGAAUGUGAAGGUUAAGGAGUACUCAAGAAAAGCUUUGAAAUGGGGAAUAUGGUCCAUUGUAGUCUGGGUGGGUUUAAUU